UGUGAAAUGUUGGGUUAAGUCCCGCAACGAGCGCAACCCUUAUCCUUUGUUGCCAGCGGUCCGGCCGGGAACUCAAAGGAGACUGCCAGUGAUAAACUGGAGGAAGGUGGGGAUGACGUCAAGUCAUCAUGGCCCUUACGACCAGGGCUACACACGUGCUACAAUGGCGCAUACAAAGAGAAGCGACCUCGCGAGAGCAAGCGGACCUCAUAAAGUGCGUCGUAGUCCGGAUUGGAGUCUGCAACUCGACUCCAUGAAGUCGGAAUCGCUAGUAAUCGUGGAUCAGAAUGCCACGGUGAAUACGUUCCCGGGCCUUGUACACACCGCCCGUCACACCAUGGGAGUGAGUUGCAAAAGAAGUAGGUAGCUUAACCUUCGGGAGGGCGCUUACCACUUUGUGAUUCAUGACUGGGGUGAAGUCGUAACAAGGUAACCGUAGGGGAACCUGCGGUUGGAUCACCUCCUUACCUUAAAGAAGC
rnacentral:rRNA from 2 species